GACAAUGGUAGGAGAGCGUUCUAAGGGCGUCGAAGCAUGAUCGCAAGGACAUGUGGAGCGCUUAGAAGUGAGAAUGCCGGUGUGAGUAGCGAAAGACGGGUGAGAAUCCCGUCCACCGAUUGACUAAGGUUUCCAGAGGAAGGCUCGUCCGCUCUGGGUUAGUCGGGUCCUAAGCUGAGGCCGACAGGCGUAGGCGAUGGAUAACAGGUUGAUAUUCCUGUACCACCUAGUAUCGUUUUAAUCGAUGGGGGGACGCAGUAGGAUAGGCGAAGCGUGCUGUUGGAGUGCACGUCCAAGCAGUAAGGCUGAGCGUUAGGCAAAUCCGGCACUC
rnacentral:rRNA from 1 species